GUCUGUAACUGACGCUGAGGCUCGAAAGCAUGGGUAGCGAACAGGAUUAGAUACCCUGGUAGUCCAUGCCGUAAACGAUGAAUGCUAGGUGUUGGAGGGUUUCCGCCCUUCAGUGCCGCAGCUAACGCAUUAAGCAUUCCGCCUGGGGAGUACGACCGCAAGGUUGAAACUCAAAGGAAUUGACGGGGGCCCGCACAAGCGGUGGAGCAUGUGGUUUAAUUCGAAGCAACGCGAAGAACCUUACCAGGUCUUGACAUCUUUUGAUCACCUGAGAGAUCAGGUUUCCCCUUCGGGGGCAAAAUGACAGGUGGUGCAUGGUUGUCGUCAGCUCGUGUCGUGAGAUGUUGGGUUAAGUCCCGCAACGAGCGCAACCCUUAUGACUAGUUGCCAGCAUUUAGUUGGGCACUCUAGUAAGACUGCCGGUGACAAACCGGAGGAAGGUGGGGAUGACGUCAAAUCAUCAUGCCCCUUAUGACCUGGGCUACACACGUGCUACAAUGGAUGGUACAACGAGUUGCGAGACCGCGAGGUCAAGCUAAUCUCUUAAAGCCAUUCUCAGUUCGGACUGUAGGCUGCAACUCGCCUACACGAAGUCGGGAAUCGCUAGUAAUCGCGGAUCAGCACGCCGCGGGUGAAUACGUUCCCGGGUCC
rnacentral:rRNA from 2 species